GGGGGAGUUUGUUGGUGCACUUGUGUCUGUACUUUGUCUGUAUUCGGUCUCGAUGUAAACGAUGUCCUUGUCAGUCCUGGACCUACAGUUGACCAAGUCAACCGUCCUCCUGGUUUGACUUGGCCAACAGUUAGUAAAUUAGUUGUAAUUUGUCUGUCUCGAAGGAUGAGACAUCGAAGGUUGAUUUAGAUCCUUCGAUGUGCUCGAAAGAUGAACAUUCGAUGGAUGCUGUUGGACCUCGAAGGAUACACCAUCCUUCG
rnacentral:lncRNA from 1 species